rnacentral:misc_RNA from 1 species
GUUAGAUGGUACAUGGAGUGGAGGCAAAAGAUUAUAACUCUAAUUGAAUGCAGUUUGGGGUCAGAGUUUGCUAAUAUGAAGGAGAUUCUCCUCAAAUGCUUGGAAUACAAUCCUGAAAGUCGGCCACUUAUAUUUGAAUUGUGGAAAAUAUUAAAGGUUCUUGUGAUCAAAUCUGAACUUGAUGAUGUAAAAGACUUAGAGCAGGAAAUAAGAAUGGAAAACAUGUGUAAUUGCUUAAUUCUUGAAGACUUGUGUCAGUCAAUCAAUAAGGUUACUAAAGAAUCACCGAGGUGCCUUGAUGAUACUUCUGUGGUGGAAAAUGCAAACACAGAGGAGGCUGAGGGGGUUGAAAACUUCGGGGCUAAUAAGGAUGUCGUUGAGGGCCUCUCCUGUGGUCAAGUGAAAUGCAUUGAUCUAAAAGGGCAUCGUAAUUGUAUCACAGGUUUAGCGAUUGGAGGUGGCUUUCUGUUCAGCUCGUCAUUUGACAAAAUGGUCAAUGUAUGGUCUUUGCAGAUUAUGGAGAACCGCUGUGCAUUAGUGGUGAUAAUGGUGGCACAAUUUGCAUUUGGCGAGCUAGCACUCCAUUAAGUCCAGAACCACUGAAGAAACUACAGGAGCAACAGGACUGGCGUUAUAGUGGUAUACAUGCCCUUGCUUUCUCUGCAAGCCAAUAUCUAUAUACUGGCAGCGGUGACAAGUCUAUAAAAGCAUGGUCUUUGCAGGAUUACAGUCUAUCAUGCACUAUGAAUGGCCAUAAAUCAGUUGUAUCUUCAUUAGCAAUAUGUGAUGAGGUUCUUUACAGUGGUAGUUGGGAUGGAACUGUACGGUUAUGGUGCCUUAGUGAUCAUAGUCCAUUGGCAGUUUUGGGGGAAGAAGCCCCAGGGAGUGUUUGCUCAGUUUUUUGUCUUGCUGUUGAUGAGAAUGUACUUGUUGCAGCUUAUGAGAACGGUUUGACAAAGAUUUGGUUUGCCGAUGUUCUGGUGAAAUCUGCUCAAGAACACGAGGGUGCCGUCUUUUCUGCUUGCAAGAAGGAGAAGUGGAUUUUUACAGGUGGCUGGGACAAGACUAUAAAAGUAAAGGAACUAUGUGGAGAUGGUGAACAGAUAGAUGCCUUUCCUCUUGGAUCUAUUACAUGUGAUUCUGUAGUAACAGCUCUACUCCACUGGCACGGGAAGCUCUUUGUUGGACAAGCUGAUGGAGUUAUCAAGGUGUACUAUUUCUGCAGUCAGAUGAAUCAUUGAAAGCACUUUUGGAUAGUUUUAUCAAUUAUUUCUUUCGAGAAGCAUCUUGUCUCAGCAACUGCAAGGAACUAAUUGUAGUAUUGUACCAAGUUGAAGUAGCGUAGUGGGAAACACCCUUCACCUUAAGUCACUAAGGAAGUAAACAAGGAAUUGGACCCCUCUUGGCUCCUGAGAAAUUUACGAUAUCAAGAAAAUACUCUUAAAAAAAAAAA